rnacentral:lncRNA from 1 species
CGCGGGACUGGGGAACUGGCAGGCUGCUGGCCGGCGCGUGGAACCACCCCCGCCACCCCCGCACCCCCAAUGUUGAACCAGAGUUCUUAACUUCCAUGUGCACGAACCCCAGGGAGUGCAGGAACACCCCCAAACUGUGCACAAAUUGAGCAUGUUUGUGCAUUCUUCAGGGGAGAGGGGCCGUGGGCUUUCCUCCGGUUUUCAGAAGUCCACGGCCCCCUAAGGUUGAGAACUCCCUCUUCAAUCAUAACUGAUGUUUUUUUAGUUGCAUACUUGGUACCAUGCAGACCCUGUCUUUAUUUACAUUUUAGAUAUUUUGUUCAUUGUGGGGUUUUGCAUUAAUUUUGAUACUUUUAAAAAUAUUUUAAAAGUAAAAAAUUAAAAUAUUAUUUUGAUUACUUAGGGGUUUGGGGCACUGCUUUGGGCAAUUUACCUCCGUUGCUGAGUUUUCUUGGCAUCUCCUGGUAUGCUGCAUCUCUGCAUGUGCCACACCCUAGUCCAGACCCUGACCCACACAGUGCUGGGGUUUAAGGGAGGCCUGCUUUUUUCUCUCCAUUUACAGAUGGGAAAGCUGACAUAAACGGGUAGGUGGUAGAGGUGGGAUUUGAACCCAGGUAACCUAACUCCAAACUUCUGCAUCUUGUCAUAAGGAUCCAAAUCUUAGGCUUUAAGGGGUUCUGUGCAGAUCCUCAGCAGCCUCCCCAGCUUCAGAUCCGGCCUCCUGAGCUCCAGUCUCUCUGAUACCUGCACCCAGGCUCAGGUGCAGGCCAGAGCUCACCUGACUCUGGUGAGCUGCUCUGCCCUACACCGGGAUUGCAGCACACAUCACAUGGCGCUGUCAUUGUCAGAUCCAUCUCUGUGUCCCCACACCCAGCCUGACACAUGGAGCCUGGGAUACAAUAGAUGCUCAAACCGUUGGAGACACGCACAGCAACUUGGGGUAGGGAAGAGAGUCUGGAUGGGAGACAUCAGACAUCACUAUGUCAUGGAGAACCCCCUGCAACUGCAUAAAGGGACUAACAAUUUGUACCUGGCCUUCGUGAGACCCCUGGAGGGAACUGCCACUGGCGCUGGUUUCGUAGCAAGAAUAUACCUCAAAUGACCAAACAGGAAUGAAAAACUUCAGAUGGUUUAGGUGCCAGUGGCUUCCGAAUAAAACAGCAUUCUUGAAGUGAACAGCUGAUGAGGACAUGAAAUAUUAUGCCAAAGCUGGCAUCACACUGUUCUUUUUCCUGGAUGAAAAUCUCUCUGAGAAGCAUUUGCUCUUAACUUUGGUGUCCUGGGGACUGCUGCCUUAUCCCAGGAAGCCACCCAGAGUCUUGGAUGUGUGGGAUCCUUAGGACUUCAUGGUAAACCUGCUCUAGUCCCUCGGGUUAGUAAAAUGAAGCCCAGGACAUCUGAGAGCCCCCAGCACUUCCAUAGAAAUGGACCAAAAUCCCUUCUCCCAGGGGGAGAAACCUGGAAUAAGCUCAAGAGGACAGACGGCUAAAUUUUCAAGAAUCGUGUGAGCUGCUGUUAAACAAGCCAUUAUUAAAACUUUAAUUGUGUAAACUUACAAUUAGGUCAGUUAUAUUAAAAGUAAAAGUGAUACAUACCCCAAACUCAUCUCUUUCAAGUUAUUUUACUAUAUUUUACUGUUUUCUAUAGGCUUGAAGUUAUUUACAUCUACUGUAAGUGUGGGGGUGGAAAUUCAAUAUAAUGACACGCUACCAAGCACCUCUUCUCAACUUGGUGUUUAGUGACCUCACCAAGGUAGCUUCAAACAGGCUGUGAUGGGAGUAUUUACACCUCAGAAAUUAGCAAAUGCUAUUAAUUAGGGCUCUUUUCCCCCCAGAGACCCUGGUAUUAAGCAUUUAUUAGCACCUGGGCACAGUGGCUCACGCCUGUAAUCCCAGCACUUUGGGAGGCCGAGGCAGGCGGAUCACCUGAGGUCGGGAGUUUGAGACCAGCCUGACCAACAUGGAGAAACCCCGUCUCUACCAAAAAUACAAAAUUAGCCAGGCAUACUGGCGCAUGCCUGUAGUCCCAGCUACUCGGGAGGCUGAGGCCGGAGAAUCGCUUGAACCUGGGAGGCGAAGGUUGCGGUGAGUUAAGAUUGAGCCAUUGCACUCUAGCCUGGGCAACAAGAGCGAAACUCCUUCUAAAAACAUUUAUUAGCUCACACUUCCAUCUCUUACCUAGGCCAGUACUGUGGACAAUUCAGAAGCAGCUCCCUCCCUCCUUCUCCACUGGAUCUACAGUCGAAUCCCUUGAGCAUAGACCCAGAUCUUGCUCAAUUUGGGGUCAUGAUUUGGUGCCGUGGCCUCCUCAAAACUUCCUUCUUCCACAGCAUCACACAUUCCAGCUACACUCAGCUCCUUGCAGUUUCUUAAAUAAAAUACAGGUUUUCCCAUUCCUCUGGUGCUUUGCAUAUUAAUUUCCUUCUUUGGCUAGGGUAGGGGGGAUGUUUUUUCUCUCCUUUUCUAGAUUUUUAUUCUGCAAGAGUCAGAAAGUAUCUCCUCUGGGGAACCUUUCUUAAAUCCCCCACACCUGCCUCAUCCCACCCCACUGCAGGCUGCAUAUAGCAGUGUGUUGGUAAAUAUUUAACAGCCAACUUUCUGAAAAGGGAGGGAAAAAGUCCUUAUUUUUAGCAUCUGCCAAUUUCCAUGGUGUAAAGAUGCCCAUCGUGGCCAAUUUUGAGCUGACAACAUGCAGUCUUUGAGAGUAAAUUUGGGAAGAGGCGUGCCAGCUGGUCUGGGCCAAUUCCAGCACAUCACUGACUGGAUCAGAUGUCUUUUCUGUCUCACAGCAGCCACACCCCCAUACAGCCCUCAUAAUACAGUGCCAUGCCAAGCCAUGUUGGAGCCUGAAGCAAAAGGAAAAAUUAAUAACACUGAUCCUGUCUUCAUUUAAAAGUUUGAUCUCGGCUGGGCGCGGUGGCUCAUGCCUAUAAUCCCAGCACUUUGGGAGGCUGAGCGGGGUGGAUAACCUGAGGUCAGGAGUUUGAGACCAGCCUGUCCAACAUGGUGAAACCCCGUCUCUACCAAAAAUACAAAAAAUUAGCCAGAUGUGGUGGCGCGCGCAUAUAAUCCCAGCUCCUUGGGAGGCCAAGGCAGAAGAAUCGCUUGAACCUGGGAGGCGGAGGUUGCAGUGAGCCGAGAUUGCACCAUCGCACUCCAGCCUGGGGCACAAGAGUGAAACUCCGUCUCAAAAAAAAAAAAACGGUAUUAAAAUAUUAUUUAUCUUGUUUACUGAGAUUUUGGAUUUUGGCACCACACUGAAUUUGACCCUGAGGUAAGUGUCUUAUUCACCUCUUCUCAUCCUAGUCCUGACCUAAUAGCCCAUAUCACACUGUUACAAUUAAUUUCAGUAUAGCUGUCUCCCCCACCAACUUGUGAAGUUUAAGGACAGGAAUCCAUUUUUGUGUUCCUAGGACUUGGCACACAGUAGGUGCUUAGUAACUAUUGUCCAGUGAGGAAGUGGAUGAGCAGAUGGAUGAACCAAUCACCCAGUUUCUUUGCCCACAAAAUAAGACACACUGAUGAAAGUCAUCCUUGGCUAUUAACCAGGGACAGGUGUUAGUUUUUGAGUUUUAGCUCUUCCAGUUCAGCAAAGAUUACUCUGCCCCUGACCUAUGGAAGCCAGCUCCUGUGCUGGGCAUUUUGACCAGGGCUGAUCUGCAGACGCCUCCAGCCUGGGGAAACAAUGAAGGGAAAAUGAGUCUGGAAAGUGGAGACUCCACCAGGACCAGGGGUGAGAAGUCGCAGAGAGGCAGCCAUCCCUGAGCCCCCAGGCCUCAGAGCUCCUGCCUCUGGAUGAGUCCUAGGAGAUUUCCAUUUGGCAAGGGCAAUGGAAAGGAGAUCCAAGCACUAGAAACUUCAGGAUGGCUUCCAAGUGUCAAAUUUGAUGGGUCAGCUGCCGUCUGAGGAUACCAGGACUUGUUUCUGUGUGUGGUCACUGCCUCACUCUGAAGACCACCAAAAAAGAGAUUGUCUGGAGAUGUGGAAUCAUGGGCUUUGCAGACAUCUCACUGGACUCUGGUCUGCAUGGGCGUGGACGUUAAGAGGCUCUGUUUACAUAAGAUUGGCCGUGGCAUCUGUUUUUUAAGCACUUGAUAUCUGCCGGGUCUCCUGUAAAGAGCUUUGCACAUAUUAGCUCAUUGAUUACUCACAAAAUCCUCAGAUGUAGACAUUAUUCUGCUUCUUUUACAGAUGAGUAGCAGAGAAGCUGGCAACCUGCCCAAGGUCUCACAGCUGGUAACUAAUGGAACUGAAACACUAACCUAGAACCAUCUGAUUCUAGAGCCCAUGAUCUUAACCACUCUAUGCAAAGAAAAGGAAUUUCGAAGAUGGGCCCCUUUCCAGCACUAGUGCCUGUAAACACCAAAAAUAGAGGUGGGAUUUGGCAGAUGCAGUCAUUUUUGUCCUUCUCUGAGCUGGCCUUGUCCUCUGCUCUCCGAGCCUGUCCAUCACAGAAGCUCCCAGGGUCUCUCCCCCUACCACUCAUCCACUUCUCCAGCCAGUGUCCACAGGGGAGUUGAAUGUCUCUAAAGGGAAAUUCUUCCACUCAAAGACACUCAUCUCAUUUGGAGGAGUCAGGAGAGGAGAAGGAAGUGAAGAAGCAGUGAGCAUCUCUCAUCUGCCAAGCUCUAUGCACACAUUAGGGGUCCUUCUCAUCCCAGGACGAGGGGGCAGGUGUUUUUCUCAUCCUUAUAUUAAGGACUUGCAUUGUUCAAUAUAGUAGCCACUAGUCUCAUGUAGCUACUUAAAUUUCAAUUCC